rnacentral:lncRNA from 1 species
UCUGCCUAGUAAGAUGGGAAUACUCAGCAAUACCACAAUGAAGUCAUCUUAACAAAGGAUAGCAAUAGCAUGUUGUUGACCAAUUUUUUUUCUAUUAC